rnacentral:misc_RNA from 1 species
GCGUCUGCGCAGGGGUUCAGUAGUGGCUGCAGGCAUUAGACGUAUUGAGCAGAUUUUAUGGCCUGAUGGAAUAUUCAUAACAAAGCAUCCAAGUCGACAACGUCCUACACCAUCUGCCAUUCAAUCUGUUGGUUCUCCACAAAACCAUCCUCCUACUCCAUCUGCCAGUCCAUCCAUUGGUUCUCCACAAAACCAACCUCCUACUCCAUCAUCAUCACCAAUGGCAGAGGAUAUCCGGAAACUGGAUGAGAAGCAACAGAAGGAAGCUGAACAGCG